rnacentral:rRNA from 1 species
UGGGGAAUAUUGCACAAUGGGCGAAAGCCUGAUGCAGCGACGCCGCGUGAGGGAUGAAGGCCUUCGGGUUGUAAACCUCUUUCAGUAGGGAAGAAGCGCAAGUGACGGUACCUACAGAAGAAGCACCGGCUAACUACGUGC